rnacentral:rRNA from 1 species
UACGGAGGGUGCGAGCGUUGUCCGGAAUCACUGGGCGUAAAGGGCGCGUAGGCGGCCUGAUAAGUAGGGGGUGAAAUCCUGCGGCUUAACCGCAGGGCUGCCUUCUAAACUGUCGGGCUCGAGCACAGUAGAGGCAGGUGGAAUUCCUGGUGUAGCGGUGAAAUGCGUAGAGAUCAGGAGGAACACCCGUGGCGAAGGCGGCUCUCUGGGUCCGCCCUGACGCUGAGGCGCGAAAGCGUGGGGAGCGAACGGG